rnacentral:lncRNA from 1 species
UCCACUUUGCUUUCUCAAACACUCAGUCAAAUCUUUCUCAAACGCCCAAUCAAUACUUGAUCUAGGUCAAGUCAUUUUUAAGUGAGAUUGGGAGGAGAGGAUUCGAGAGUUUUUCUUUUCUUUUUUAAUUUUCUUUCCCUAAUUUAUUUUAGAUAGGAUAUUUAUUUAGAUUAGAAAUUUAAAAAUCAGUUGAGUUUAGACUUUUUUUAAAAAAAUAAUUUUAGUUUAGAUUUUUUAAAAUAAUUUUAGUUUAGAUUUUUUUAAUAAUGUUAGUUUAGAUUUUUUUUAAAUUAAUAUUAGUUUAGAUUUUUUUUAAAAAAAAUAAUUUUUAGUUUAGAUUUUUUUUAAAUAAUUUUAGUUUAGAUCUU